GUUAAUGUAGCUUAAAUUAAAGCAAGGCACUGAAAAUGCCUAGACGGGUUGUAACCCCAUAAACA
rnacentral:tRNA from 1 species